rnacentral:rRNA from 1 species
GACGAACGCUGGCGGCGUGCCUAAUACAUGCGAGUAGAACGCACAGUUUAUACCGUAGCUUGCUACACCAUAAACUGUGAGUUGCGAACGGGUGAGUAACGCGUAGGUAACCUGCCUGGUAGCGGGGGAUAACUAUUGGAAACGAUAGCUAAUACCGCAUAAUAUUGAUUAUUGCAUGAUAAUUGAUUGAAAGAUGCUAUUGCAUCACUACCAGAUGGACCUGCGUUGUAUUAGCUAGUAGGUGAGGUAACGGCUCACCUAGGCGACGAUACAUAGCCGACCUGAGAGGGUGAUCGGCCACACUGGGACUGAGACACGGCCCAGACUCCUACGGGAGGCAGCAGUAGGGAAUCUUCGGCAAUGGACGAAAGUCUGACCGAGCAACGCCGCGUGAGUGAAGAAGGUUUUCGGAUCGUAAAGCUCUGUUGUAAGAGAAGAACGGGUGUGAGAGUGGAAAGUUCACACUGUGACGGUAUCUUACCAGAAAGGGACGGCUAACUACGUG